CUCACCCUCUCACCCCAUGUAGGCCAAUCACCCACGCCAUCUCCCUCCCUCAUAUCUCAAUCCGCCGCCGCCCCAACCCUAGCCCAACCCAAUCCGCCGCCGUCCUCUUCUCCAGUCGCACCGGCGACCUCCAACCUCAUCGCCGGCAGCCCCUCCCCUCUCCUCCUAGAUCCACUCGGGCUACUCAUGUCGUGGCCAUCCUCUCUCUCCUCUCUCUCCACCGCACACCACUCCUCUCUCUCCCCCAUGCAGCGAACCCUAGCGCUCCCCGAUCCAGAUCCCUCCCCUCCCCUCGCCGCCAUCCACCGCCGCUCGCCGCCGGCCUCGACCCCCUCCCUCCCCUGCCCUCCGAACACUGUCGCCUGCCAGAUCCACUGCAUCCCCCACCCCGGCCUCUCUCUCCCGUACUGCACGCCGCCGCCACACACGGCAUCGCGCAACAAGGGGCUCGCAUCGCUCCGACCAGAUCCGAUUGGCGCCUCCCUGGCCUCGGAUCAGGCCUGCACGACCCGGGUGCCACCACCGCCACCACCGGGAGGCGUGGAUUCAUGCGUGCUCCGGUUGCGGGAUCUGACCAUCCUCGGCGUCAUGUCCUCAAGGUCUCCUCUCUGCACCUCAGUCCCUAUUUGGUUUGCUCUCUCCCCUGCCCUGAUGCGGCCGGUUCUCCAUACACAGGUGCACGAGAGACCUCGUCUCCACUCCAAGGCCAUUCGUGCUAGCGUAGAUUGGCGUGCUCGCACGCGUUGGAUGGACGGAGGGGACACUGACCUCCUCCGCCGGGUCUCCCAAGAGGCCGCGCAUCCUGCCGCGACCACCUCUACUGCGCGACGGUGGUGGCCGACCUCCAAUGCGACCGCUGCAUCGCCAGUAACCUCUUCGCAAUGGCAACCCAAGCAGGAACCUCGGCUACUCCUCGUUUAAGUCCCCAAGUGGUAGGAUUCUCUGUUCACGGGAGUCACCAUCUAGGCAUGCUUGCUGCUUCACCAGAAUGCUGCAUUGUUCUUUAGCUAUCGAUUGUCUGUGUAGAUUGACUGUAUCGAGUUGAGGGCUUGAGGCAGGCUGUAGGUGAUUAGAAAAACCACCUGUUAAGUAAGAUUGGCUGUAGUGUAUGCUCUGAACAUAAGCUUGUGCUGCUGCCAGUGUAGUGUAUGCUGUGAACACAAGAUCCUUUACUUGCUCUGGUUUGGUUAAGACUGAUGAUGCCGUGGAUAAGAAAACAAUUUAAAAGGUCUGUUGAAACAAGGUGGAAGCAUGUUCUUCUUGCAACGUACCCUAAACCCCUAAACCCUUUUUAUUUGAACUUCUUAGUUAUGUUCUGGAGUCUGGAAUUUUUGAAUCAAUAUCUAUCUGAUUAAUUCAUGCCUUGUUUUGUUUUUUAGUUUGUUUCAAAACAUAUAUGUGGUGUAUCUGAUUAGUUAUGUUGUAAAAGAAUGCUUGUCUCUGACACUGUUAUUCUUAUGUUGAUAUAUGAGCCCAGUUUUGUGUGUUUUGAAUCAAUAUCUAUCUGAUUAAUUACUGAUCAUGGUGAGCUAGAUCCAAACAAACAAGACACUUACAUUAACUUGGCACUUUGAGUCCUUGUAAUUCUGAUAGUGUGGAACUAUAUUUUGUACACAUAGUCAACUAGUUUUCGUUUUAUAUUUGCUUGCUUAUGUGGAACUAUAUUUUCUCAUUUUUCUAAUUAUGACAUGGAUGAUAUGAAAUAUCAGAAUUGUUUCUGUUACAUGGUGUGCUGCAGGAAAGCCCGUGUGUAGGUUUAUUGUCUCGUAAUUGGGCAAUUAUUUUCUUGCAGGGGGCCACCCGUUCGAGCUCGCUUUGACCCUCUUUUGCUCUGUAGUGGUCCUGGUACAUGAAAAGAAGGUCCUUUUAAAUGUUUUGCUUCCUUGGUUGCAUUCUGCUGUACACUCAAAAAUAUUUUCAAUUUAGUGACAAGCAAACAAUAAAAUAGUCAAAAGGCUUUUAUUUAAUGUGCUUUUCGAAAAUGAAAAUGUGUUGUGAUGUUCUCCUCUUUCUGUUGACAUGUAUGUUGAAUAAUAUCAAGCCAUAAUUAUAGUCCCUCCAAGACAUGCUCAAAUGUAGUCGCACGUACAGAUUUGUGUGUCUGAGGUACAGUUUUAAGAUGAGAUACGUAUAUAUGGAACUCAUGUAAGGGAAUUAGAAAUAGAGAAAUAUAUAUGUAUGGGUACCUCGGCUAUUGGAAAUACCAACUAUACAAUCAUCUUGUUAAUUACUACACAUCAUAUAGAUUUUGUAGUGUAUUAAUCUCAUUGGGUAGAGUGGCCUACUUGCACACUUUUAUUGACUCGUUGGUUGCUGAUUACUUUCGAGCGAGUAGCACAUGUCUCAAGCAACUGUAGUAUUCCUUUCCCUGAAUUGCUCCCUUGUUUUGCUGUGGCCGUAUGCUCCAUGGUCAAUGAUGCGUGCUGUAUACAUAUUAAAACCAAAAUUGGAGUAGUUUCAGUCGUGCAUAUUAGAACUGAAUUAUGCUCUGUUUUGCUGUAGUUGUAUGCUCUUAUUGCUGAAUUGUUUAGUGGGUUGUACAAACUAAACUCGUCCAGUGAGCUUGCUAUGAUGUAUUGUAUAUUGCUGUACUUAAGACGUCUUGUAGAAUUUGGGCCUGAGCAAUCUGGAAUUUGGUUGUUGUUUGAGAUUAAUCUUUCCGAGCCAUUAGAGUGGGUUCAAGGAUGGAUCUGCCCAUUCAUUGUGCAGAGGAUCUUCUAAUUUACCACUUGUCUACUAGUACAUUAGUUAUCAUGAACCUACAUGCUCCCUUCUCUGCAAAGUAAAAACUAAAGAGGUUCCUUAACUUCAUAGCCAAGUUAUGACAGCAGUUUGAUAUUCCUUUUGCUACCACAUGUCCUUUAGUCUUUAACUCUCUGAUGCUGCUUUCCUUCAUCAUGCAGGCACGCCCCGAUGCUCCCCUCGCUUUGGGCACCCAAUGCCAGGCAGGCUGUGGAUGCCCCGGACCUCAAGGCCGGCCGUGCUACUCCAGCUGCUCUUGCCCCGGCCAUGCUCAACUUCGCUCCUGGUCAGUUGCCGCAGGUGAGACACUUGCCUCCAUGCUUGGGUGAUUCUACCUGCUCACUUAGUAUCAUACUUGAAUCUAUGCACGAAUUUCACAAGUUUGGAUGCAUCAUAGAACUUGUGGUGAACCUGUUACAGUGAUGUUCAUUGACGACCUGCACUUGUACCAAUGUAUCAUGCUGCUAUUUGGCAAGUCAGUUUCACAUUGCAUGUGGAUCUUAAACUUAUACAGUAAGCUUAGUUAUUUGCAUAUGUAAAAUAUGUUGACAAAGUGUUAUGUUGGAUUACCGCCUCAUGUUGAUGGCAUUGUCUCUAAACAUUUAAUAAUGUUUCUUUUUGCUGUGACGGAAGACCAGAAGAGGCAUUGAGAUGUGCACCACAGUUUUAGUUGAUGUUGCACCAUGUUUUGGUGCUUGUGUAUCUGUUUUUGCUUGUAAGCACACUUGUAUGUGCAUGUGUAUCGUGCUUGUGUAUCUGUUUUUGCUUGUUUAAGUUGAUGUUGGACGUGCGGACUUGUAUGUGCUGUUGUGUGUAUUUGGCUAAAUGAUUCUAAAUUUAAUCAUUUAAUCAAGAGAAUUAUUGAGUGUUUGCUGUUCAAA